AGGUAAUUUGGAUAAAAGUUUGUUUUAAGUGUCCUUUUUGUAUUACGGUUUUUAGGAAGAAGAAGGGAAAGUUUUUGUUCUCGAAAAAGAAAGAUCUAGACUUAAUUAAAAAUAAUUUCUUUAAAGGUUUGGUUGUUUUUUAAUGAAUAAAAAAUUGUAACUGGUAUUGUUUAUGAUAUUAAGUUGAUAUUUUGAAUAAAAAUUAAGUUUAGGAGAAAAAUUUUUUCGAUUUCUUUUAGCUAGUUGGUAGAAGGUGAAAUUUAAAGUAAAAGCUUUUGUUUUAAGUAAUUUUUUGAUUGUUUUUUUGUUUUUUUAAUAUUUAAUAGAAAUUUUAAGCUUCAGAUUUGUUGUGUGUUUUUAACAAAAACAGAAGAAUAGAAAAAUAAAUUUUAAAUCUGUUUUUGAUAGAAAAAUUAUCUAGGGUUGGUAAUUAAAGAAUUAGUAUAAUAAGUAAUAAAUAAAGAAUUCUAUAGCUUUCCGACUGUUUAUUAAAAACAUUUCUUUUUUAAAAAAAAGUAGAUCCUGCACAAUGAAUUACUGUUUAAAUUGCUGCAGUAUUUUGACUGUGCAAAGGUAGCAUAAUUAUUUGUCUGUUAAAUGUAGAAUUGUUUGAAUGGGUUUUUCGAGAAAGAAAUUUUUUUAUUUUUAAAUAUAAAAGAAAUUGAAAUCAGAGUGAAGAUUCUCUGUUUUUAUAUAGAUUAAGACGAAAAGACCCUAAAGAGUUUGUAUUAAACUAGUUUUAAAUAAAAAUUAAGUAGGGUAUAAUUUUAAAUGGGGAAUUUGAAAAUAAAAAUGUUUUUAUAGGUUAAAUUGGGUAAAACUUCCUUAGGGAUAACAGGGUAAUAAAGUUUUAGAGUUCUUAUCAAAAAUUUUGUUUACUACCUCGAUGUUGAAUCAUAAUAAAAAUAAGGUGCAGGUGUUUUAAUUUUUAGUCUGUUCGACUAUUAAAAUUGUUCGUGAUUUGAGUUUAGACCGAUGUAAAUCAGGUUGGUUUUUAUCUAAUAGUGAAAGAUGUUGUACGAAAGGACUCAGUCUUUUUUAUUGACUUGUUGAUGGAUGAAAAG
rnacentral:rRNA from 1 species